rnacentral:tRNA from 1 species
GUUUCCUUAGUGUAGUGGCUAUCACGUUUGCUUAACAUGCUGAAGGUCAUCAGUUCAAUCCUGAGUGGAAACA